rnacentral:rRNA from 1 species
GACGAACGCUGGCGGCGUGCCUAAUACAUGCAAGUCGAGCGGACGGAUGGGAGCUUGCUCCCAGACCGUCAGCGGCGGACGGGUGAGUAACACGUGGGCAACCUGCCCGUAAGACUGGGAUAACUCCGGGAAACCGGGGCUAAUACCGGAUAACUCUUUCCCUCACAUGAGGGAAAGCUGAAAGAUGGCAUCUCGCUAUCACUUACAGAUGGGCCCGCGGCGCAUUAGCUAGUUGGUGAGGUAACGGCUCACCAAGGCGACGAUGCGUAGCUGACCUGAGAGGGUGAUCGGCCACACUGGGACUGAGACACGGCCCAGACUCCUACGGGAGGCAGCAGUAGGGAAUCUUCCGCAAUGGACGAAAGUCUGACGGAGCAACGCCGCGUGAGUGAUGAAGGUUUUCGGAUCGUAAAACUCUGUUGUCAGGGAAGAACAAGUACCGGAGUAACUGCCGGUACCUUGACGGUACCUGACCAGAAAGCCACGGCUAACUACGUG